CUACGGGGGGCUGCAGUAGGGAAUCUUCCACAAUGGGCGAAAGCCUGAUGGAGCAACGCCGCGUGAGUGAAGAAGGUUUUCGGAUCGUAAAACUCUGUUGUAAGGGAAGAACAAGUACAGUAGUAACUGGCUGUACCUUGACGGUACCUUAUUAGAAAGCCACGGCUAACUACGUGCCAGCAGCCGCGGUAAUACGUAGGUGGCAAGCGUUGUCCGGAAUUAUUGGGCGUAAAGCGCGCGCAGGCGGUCCUUUAAGUCUGAUGUGAAAGCCCACGGCUCAACCGUGGAGGGUCAUUGGAAACUGGGGGACUUGAGUGCAGAAGAGGAAAGUGGAAUUCCAAGUGUAGCGGUGAAAUGCGUAGAGAUUUGGAGGAACACCAGUGGCGAAGGCGACUUUCUGGUCUGUAACUGACGCUGAGGCGCGAAAGCGUGGGGAGCAAACAGGAUUAGAUACCCCCGUAGUC
rnacentral:rRNA from 1 species